AGACGCCCGAACCAGCAAACCAGGAAAUAAGUUUAAGGUGGAUGGAACAAAGUUUGGCUGUACGACAUGAUGUAAUCAACGGAGAUGUUACCGCCCACUGACUUGUGACUGCAAUAGCUGUUGACAACUUUUGCGUGAUCAUGUUCCAUGGUCUCUCAGUGCGGAAGAGGGUCACUCUGACCCUGCUGUUGACCACACUGACCUCGACAGCCGCAGUAGCACCUACCGCGCCAUCAACUCUGAUCCCGGCGAAUACAUCGGAUGCCUCUGACCUAAUGACUAGCUGGCUGGAUGCAACGGCUGAAGUGGAAAUAACCACAGUUCCGACUAAGCAACGAUCAUACCCGCGUAUCGGAAACUGCACAUUUUACCCGAAUACCACUUAUACUUGGUUAAGCCCGCCGAUAGCUUUUCGUGACAACAAAAUCUUUAUUCCAUUCCCAUUAGCCCUUGUUGGCACUAUUAUCAUCUUUCUUGUCAACGGAAAGCGCAUGUUUAAAGGUUCACCCUAUUUAUAUAUGUGCGUGCUAGCUUUGGCAGAUUUAAGCAAUGUCUUUGCGGGCUGUUUAGAUAUAGGAGUUGAGUAUACCUCAAAAAAACAACUCUACAUGAAUGAUAUGAUUUGUGCUACGCUUGGAUAUUUGGUUCACACCACACAGGCGUUUGCAAUCUCUGUCCUUAUUGCGAUGACAAUAGAACGAAUGCUUGUCGUUUUGUUUCCUUUCAAAUUAAAACAUUUCUUUACUGUUAAAAAAGCAAUGGUUAUACUCUGUAUCAUGCUCAUAUGUAGCUGCGCAGCAUUUAUCCCUUACGCAAUGGCGCGAAGAGUGAAAGUUUCCCUAACGGGGGCAGGUAAGCGAGUCUACGAAUGUGGCUUUCUUUAUAGAAGGGUUGAGGUGGGCAAUGAUCCACGGAUUCAUGGCUUUGAAAUAGACUUAUCAUUUGCUAUAAAAAAUUAUGUUUACUUGAUAAUACCAAUGAUUCUUCUGCUUGGUUGUAAUGUGGCUAUCAUUGUAGCUAUGACGGCAGCAGUGAAAGCUAAAGUAAAACUAAUGGGGGAGGAAAAGGGAAGCCAGGAUAGAUCUGUUGGUCAACUGCGUCACAUUACCGCCCAAGUCCUCUCCGUGUCCAUCUUUUAUGUGGUAGUUGCCCUCCCCUUUGCAUGUACUUUCCACCCUUUGAGUCAAGACAUGUUUAGAACUUGGUAUGAACGGUCCUGUGCGCAUUAUUAUGCCUUUUUUUGGUUUCGAGAGAUUGUUAAGUUUUUAUACGAAUUUAAUCAUUGUGUAAAUGCCUACAUGUAUGCCGUAAGUAGCAAGAAAUUCCGGACCGAACUCCUUGAAGCGUUACGCCUUAAGUCCCCGAAAAAAGGGACCAGUGCGUCUGGAAGUGGAUUGCGCCAGACGGUCAGUGGUUCGACUACCAAGUCUUAGACACCACAACUUUGGUCGCAGCACGACUUCAUUCGAUUUUAAGUCUGAUGUUUGUAAACAUUAGACAUUUUCGUGGCUUGCAAUUUCGCUAUGUUCUUGGUAAUGGGACACACGGCCGAUGUGGUAGAGACUUCAGACACAUAAGAAAUCAGCCUGUAUUCCUCAGUGUUGAUCACGACAGAUGCUUUAUUGAUAGGGAGUAUGUCAAAAAUAUGUGGAAGCCUAAAAGAACUAACAUAGUUCGUCAGGGGAAGGGUCGAUGAAAAUGGCGUUCGUCUCUUCUAUUUUUUGGCAUCAUGCAUACACACAUAAUGAUUUACUUUUUUAACUUUUGAAGACAUUUUAUUUGAGUACAUUGUAUAUUCCAUCUGUUGAUUCCGGGUCACAAUCUUGCUCGUCUUUCUUGAGGGGAGAGGAUGGGGUCGAGGUAGGGACGAACACUUUCGGGUUUUCUUAGUUUCAAGAUAACUUUGACAUGUUCCCUGAGGCACCCGAGGGGAAAGUUUCGCCCUUCACAUAUUGCGUUCAUUGUGUGACAGAUAAAAACAUUUGUUCCGUCAUUGUGAUCGAAGCCUUCUUUGCAUUCGAAUAAAGUUAGACAAUAUAUAUAU